rnacentral:rRNA from 1 species
AAUGGGCGCAAGCCUGAUCCAGCCAUGCCGCGUGAGUGAUGAAGGCCCUAGGGUCGUAAAGCUCUUUCGCCAGGGAUGACAAUGACAGUACCUGGUAAAGAAACCCCGGCUAACUCCGUGCCAGCAGCCGCGGUAAUACGGAGGGGGUUAGCGUUGUUCGGAAUUACUGGGCAUAAAGCGCGCGUAGGCGGAUUAGUCAGUUAGAGGUGAAAUCCCGGGGCUCAACCCCGGAACUGCCUUUAAUACUGCUAGUCUUGAGUUCGAGAGAGGUGAGUGGAAUUCCGAGUGUAGAGGUGAAAUUCGUAGAUAUUCGGAGGAACACCAGUGGCGAAGGCGGCUCACUGGCUCGACACUGACGCUGAGGUGCGAAAGUGUGGGGAGCAAACAGGAUU